CUGCUCAUUUUGUCAGCACAUAUACUAAAAUUGGAGCAAUACAGAAAAUUAGCAUGGCUCUUGCACAAGGAUGACAUGGAAAUUCCCAAAGAAUUCCAUAUUUUU
ensembl:snRNA U6 U6 spliceosomal RNA